UAAUACGUAGGGUGCGAGCGUUAAUCGGAAUUACUGGGCGUAAAGCGUGCGCAGGCGGUUAUGUAAGACAGAUGUGAAAUCCCCGGGCUCAACCUGGGAACUGCAUUUGUGACUGCAUGGCUAGAGUACGGUAGAGGGGGAUGGAAUUCCGCGUGUAGCAGUGAAAUGCGUAGAUAUGCGGAGGAACACCGAUGGCGAAGGCAAUCCCCUGGACCUGUACUGACGCUCAUGCACGAAAGCGUGGGGAGCAAACAGGAUUAGAUACCCUGGUAGUCCACGCCCUAAACGAUGUCAACUGGUUGUUGGGAAUUAGUUUUCUCAGUAACGAAGCUAACGCGUGAAGUUGACCGCCUGGGGAGUACGGCCGCAAGGUUGAA
rnacentral:rRNA from 1 species